rnacentral:rRNA from 1 species
UACGAAGGGGGCUAGCGUUGCUCGGAAUCACUGGGCGUAAAGCGCACGUAGGCGGAUUGUUAAGUCAGGGGUGAAAUCCUGGAGCUCAACUCCAGAACUGCCUUUGAUACUGGCGAUCUCGAGUCCGGGAGAGGUGAGUGGAACUGCGAGUGUAGAGGUGAAAUUCGUAGAUAUUCGCAAGAACACCAGUGGCGAAGGCGGCUCACUGGCCCGGUACUGACGCUGAGGUGCGAAAGCGUGGGUAGCAAACGGG